rnacentral:rRNA from 1 species
UACGUAGGGUGCGAGCGUUGUCCGGAAUUAUUGGGCGUAAAGAGCUCGUAGGCGGCCUGUCGCGUCGGAUGUGAAAGCCCGGGGCUUAACCCCGGGUCUGCAUUCGAUACGGGCAGGCUAGAGUGUGGUAGGGGAGAUCGGAAUCCCUGGUGUAGCGGUGAAAUGCGCAGAUAUCAGGAGGAACACCGGUGGCGAAGGCGGAUCUCUGGGCCAUUACUGACGCUGAGGAGCGAAAGCGUGGGGAGCGAACAGG